GGUGAAGGUGGCUCUGCCAAGGUUGGGCUUAACCAGACCUGGAUGACCCCAGACUGGGGAUGAUCCAUGGCAGCUCAUUAAAGGAUGAUCCAGGUGUGUGAGGAGGGAUUUAUCAUCAGUGAAAGUUCCACGGUCAAGCAUCAGCGGCAGAUAAUUCUGCACCUGCAAAAACAUUGGUUGCUUCGUGCCUGUUUAUUGUGUGUGGGGUGAGAGGAAAAGGAGCCCUCCUGAGCUUUCCAGGGUGGAUUUGAAGUGCCUUCUGUGCUUUCUCUGUUCCCCGUGCCAGCGAUUAAGAAGAUGCUGAUGCUGUUCUGGGCUUUGGCACCUGGAGGCCAAGCUCAGAGCAUCCUGUUGGUGUGCAGGGAACAUCAGUGUGGUGAUUGAGCCCCAGUGCCCACUGAAAAAAAUUCCUGUUGUCCCAUGUUCCCAUUUAAAAUCUCUGCUAAACCCCCAACCUGACAGCAAAAACCAUAUAAUAAAUGUGAGGCUUAAAUAAUGUUUUAAUGCUUGCUGGGAUGGGGUGUUUGAACUGCCUUGAUAUGUUAAGUUAUAUAGUUUUUUAAAAAGAAAUUUGUUAAUAACCUAUUAAAGGUUAUUAAAAAACCCUAUUUCUCUCUUAAUUUCUCACUUAAAUCCAGAAUGGAUGGACAGCAAUGGAAAAUCUUCCCUGGCUGUUGGCUCCUUAGUGCUUUGUGAGUUUAUUUAUGCCCAGACCAAAGGGAUUCAGGUACAAAAGGCUGCUCAGGGCAGU